rnacentral:tRNA from 1 species
GCAUUAAUGGGGUAGUGGUAACCUGGGUUGUUCCCAUGCGCUCGGGGCAAAUUCGUCGACCUGCCGGGGGUUCGAUUCCCUCUUAAUGCA